ensembl:lncRNA
AUUUCCUUCAAGAAAUCUCUCUCUGAGCAGCAGCCCGACGAAUGCCUGAUAAAACAUAUUUUCCUACGACAGCCCGAGGAAGCGGCUCGGAGGCAUCUCGAAGACUUGGAUCUGGUUCCUGGCCUCGCGGAAUGAGAAUCCGGAGACUGUGCUCACAUUUCCAUGGCUGGGGGUGAUCUCCGUUCUGUGGCAGGAGCCUGGAGCCCGGGGAUUGAAGAGCUCUGCUCCUCGGCUUGUGAGACAGAAUGACCGCAGGUGCUGAGAGAGAGCAGGAAAUCAUCUUUGUAAAGCUGUCCAGAAAGCCUUGAAUUCAGCCUUAUCUGGAGGAUUACCCCACGCUGUUCAGUUCUUGGCAUUCAGCUCCUCUGCAGUCCCCAGCUUCAGCACAGGAAACUCCUUCACCUAGCUGCUGCCAGCAUGCUUUUGGCGACCCUGGCUGUCCCGUCAGCUGUUACAGGCCAUUAAAGGAUUUGUUUCUCGGCGUAUGAAAAGGCUUAAUUCAAUUCUCAUUCUCUUCUGGCAUUCCUCGGAGAGCCUUCUAGGCUGUCAUCUACUUCUGGCUUCGCUCAGACUCUGCAGUCCAAAGAGUCAUGUGCAGUGACCCGCCACCAUCCCUGCUUCAGACUCCAGAGUCAGGCAGAAUGUUCAGAAAGAGAGCCUCGCUCCUUAGAAAAUCCCCAGCGGAGUCUUGCAGGAGAAGAAGUGGGUGACAAAUCCUCUGCCUCUGCUUCCUCGGGGACCCAGGCUAGUGCCAAAUCUCACUACAAAGAGGUGAUUAGAGCUGAGGAACAGAAAGUCAGCUCUUACAGAUCUGAAAGCUUGAAAUGUGCAUCGUCUUUAGGGUUUCUUACAGAGGUUGAACUUCACCUCUCCCUUCUAUCGCAGCGUUCGUUUUCCUGGUUCUUUGUUCCUUUGAAAGCAUGAAGUGUAUUUAGGGGCUGUUAUUACUCCACGUGAUUGUGCUCCAUGGGCAGUGACCGAUAGAAGGGCUGCAAUGAGCCCUUUUUUUUUUUGGCCUUUUAAACGUUUCUGUCAAACCUUUCAGCACAUGUCUAGCUUUCCCAAGAUUUCGUAUCCAGUCCCUUAAAAUCAAUACAGUCUGGUCUUGCCUCUGCAGUGGAGCUAUUGAUAGGGAAGAUGCACUUGGGUCUUCAUCUAACUGCCUUUUGAAGCCCCUAAACCCAUUUGUCUCUUCUUUUGAUGGAGCUUGCUGCCUUGCUCAAUGGCUUGCUUGCAUAGGAAGCACCUUCCUUGCUGACCUCUGUUAAAAACGUGGAAGGUCUUCAAGUAGAGUUGCAGGACUUGUGAUUUGAGUGUCCUUCUUUACCCAGACCAAGGAGAACAGAGUGCAUGGUGCGUUGGCCAUUCUGGAAUCUGUCUAGGGUGGCUGGAAGAUGCUUUAAUGGUGUCAGAAGGCUCCGGGAGCCUGGACAGUGAGGUUGAGCGGCCUUAAGAACGUUGCUGACUUAAACUGACGCAUCUAAAUGCGCUGGAGGAAAGACGAGAGGGCUGUUUGGGGACCUCCUGGGUGAUUACAUACAUGGCUGGUCAGCGACAUCGCCUGAGUGCCCCGGCAGCUAUGCCAGUCUUCCAGUUUUCUUUCAUUGCAGUUCGGGUCGGAUGAGGAUAAGAUUGUGUUUUAAUAAGUGUUUGUUAGGGAGUGCUUCCCCCCCCGCCUCCCACCCGCAUGAAACUGUUUAUUUUCCUUGCAGUAACACGUGUGUUGCUCAGCUUCUGCUGUUCCAUGUGUCGUGCUCUGUUACUCUGCCUUGCUCGCAGCCGCAGAGCAGGGGGAACGCUGCCAAGGCUUUUUCUGGGAAUUUGCUCUGGUCGUGCUGCUUCCCCGGGAGCACUCAGCGGAUGCAUGUUGUUUGCAGGGGGGGGGGAACACUCAAAUGUCAGCAUCUGAAGGGAUCACGAAGGAAGCAAGGCGAGCACCAACUACUCUUCCACCUCUCAGAGGUGCCUGCAUACACACAGCCUUGAUGCAACCCUGCUGCAGAUUAUAGACGUGUUUUGGUUGAGAUUCUCUGUGCUUGAUGCAUUGUCUGCCUGCAACGCAGGGCAAACUCUACUCCUCCCUUCUGGCCCGGCCUGUAAUGAUGGAUUAAGUAGAGUCUGCCCUCAGAAUUCAGGUCCUUCUCCAGGACUCUGGGAACCUGCCUGCGUGUGAUUGACGGCAUCACGUGAGCGUGUAUGGGGCUGCAUCUCAUGCUGUCGGGUCAGAGAUUACCUCCAAGCAGCCAAUACUCAAUGUUCAGUUAGAAAAGAUGCAAAGAAGCAGAGCCAUUCCCCUCUCUGUGUCAUCUGCCUCUGAGAGUGGGAGAGUGCUGGCAGAGCGCUACCGGGUCUGUACUGGUAUAGAGAGGAAGGCUCAGAUUUGAUGAUUUGUCCAUUAUCUGGUGGUGGAUACAGCCUAACCUGGGCUCAGAGCAUCCCAAGGUCUGUAUCCUAGUGCAGGAACUGGCUGCUGCUGCUCUCUUCUGAAUAGACAGCUUUCUCCAGCCUCACAGCAUGCUAAUGUAGGCCAGUCACCUUCACCACAACUCCUGGCGCAAGAUAUUCAGCAGACUUGAUGCUUCAUAGUAGGCUGAAUCUGGUAUAACCAAGGCAGAAUUUCUACCUGCCAGUAGUGAAGUAAUGCCCUGUGAUUUCAAGUGACCACUGGUUUGACAGCAGUAGUGAAAGGGAAAGGCAUGAAUAGGCCGGAUAUCAGGAAAACCUUCUCAGGAGUGAUGAGGCUGUGAAAUGGACUGCCCAGGGAGGUGGUGGAGUCACUGUCCCUGGAGGUGUUCAAGAACUGUGGAGACGUGGCACUGAGGGACGUGGUUUAGUGAGCAAUAAUGGUUGAUGGGUGGACAGCUGGAUUAGAUGGGUCCGACUAGAGGUCCUCCAAUUAGAGGUCUUUUCCAAUCUAAAUGAUUCUAUGAAAGCAGUCGACCGUUUUCUUGCAGUCUCUGAGAAGCUUGGAUAUGGUGUCUGAAACGAGCUAAGGAAGCCACCUAAUCUCUGAGCACAUCCACCUUCUGCAGCAUACACCCUUCCAGCCACAAAGAGGUCCUGAGUCCCUCAGUGGCUGCAAAGAACAGCAGGUAGAUGGAGCAGACAGAGAUGGAGAGCAUUCUUUUGUUGCUUUUUUUUGGGGGGGGGGGAGUAUCGUUGAAGAAUCAGGGUGACAAAAAUAUUUUGAUGGAAGUGACUAUGUGAAAUAUCUUUUCAUUUUGAUUAUUUGAAAAACAAAAACUGUUCAUGGGUUUUAAAAUUCAUGUCCCCUCCGGGUUGCUUUGUUUUGUUUUGUUUCUUAUUCCUUCUCCCUUAUUCCUCAGAGGAAGCCAUCCAAACCUACACGGUGCGUCAUUUCUUGAGGAAAUGCAGUGUGAUCUUUUUUUCCAGUUUAACCUGGGCUGAAAAAUCUUCUGGUGUUUCAUUUGCCUGAGAAAUCGGGAAAAAAAAAGCUUGGAUGAAACAGGAAUCUGGCUGGUUCACAGGGAACCUUCUUGGUUUUGGAGACCCACUUGGGUGGGGUAGCUGCAGGAGCUCUUUGUUGUGCAGGCUGGGGAGGAGGUGAUGCCAUCUUUGCCUGGGCCAUACUUUGUGCCCAAUGCCUCCUCCAGGGGUGAGGGGCAUAAGGGGUGCAGAGCUGUGUCUUGGUUGCAGCAGGGAACUGCUACCACUGAAGUAUGAUUCUCAGCUUUCUGGAGUUGUGGAAAACAUCUGGACAAUGGUUGAAAUUGGAAGAGCGAAGGGCUAUCCUGGCUUUUGAGGGCAUAUCAUGGGAUGUCCCGCAGGUGGCUUGUUGGAGGUGAACCACAGAGGGAGGACUGCACUGGAGAGGCAUAGAGGCUCACAUGGGACGGGAGUGGUGGCAACUGCCUGUAUGCCUGGAAGCAGGGCAAGCAGUGGACUGGGGGUGGAGGAGACCACCUCCGCCUGUUGCUGCCAUCUCCACGAGCUGCCAGCUCUGCCGUGUAGCUUUGCCCAGAUCUGCAGUAGAGCUGCUCAUCCCCAGCCCUGCCAUCCCUGUGCCCCACAUGCUGCCUCUCCUAUAAAUAGCCGGAUGGGAAGCAGAGCGCAGAGCCGCCGCAGAUGGCCCCCAGUUCCACGCGCACUCAUGUGUGAGAUCCCAGAGAGGGGCUGUCAAUUCCUUGCCUACAGCCACCCAUGCAACCUCAUUAAGGAUGGUGUCGUCUUCCUUAACCCCCAUCGCCCCCUCCCUCCCCACUUCAACGUGCCUCCAUUUGAGCACCCUUAUUAAACGUGCACUUCUAAGCAAGGAGCGCUGACUUCCCCUUAAUUGAGGCAUAAUAAUUAGAGCAUUAACACAUUAGGAGGGUGAGACAGCAUGUUUAGCUUUUGUGAUUAAUUAUCUGAGGAUUGUAAUAAGUUGUUAAGACAUUAAUUACUCUGGCAUGUUUAUUGCUCUUUAUUGCAGAACUGACACUUGGUGGAAGAGUUGCUGGUGUGCCUGGCGGUGCACCGUGAGGUGGGCUGGCCAGGGGAGACCUCUGCUCCCCCAUAGGCACUGAGCUGCUGCUUGGGAAUGGAUCUAGGGGAGCAGAAACAGCUCCUGAACCUCCAGCAGGACACCUCGGGAUGGAAGUGGUGUCUGAAUCUCUUAGAGUCGUAGGAUUAUGAAGGUUGGAAUAAAACACUGAGAGCAUCAGCCCAUCCCCACCGUGCCCACUAAACCAUGUCCCUCAAUGCCGCGUUCUCCCUCAUCUUGGGGCAGCCUGGGAGCUGGAAGGCUUAUUUUUAUGGAUGGUUUCAGCUGGAUUUCUCUCUUCUUUCAAACAAAGUGUUUCCUCUCGGAUGGUUUGAGCCUGCCCUCAUUUGGAUCUUUGUUUUUGCAAAUCCAAGUCAGCGUGGCUCAUUGUGCCUGGAUCUGAGGAGGAUGGCUGUCUGUUAACGACAAGCUGAAGUUCAGCGUGUCGGCGGUGGUCAGGGAGUGAACCAGGACCCCAGUGGCCUCGCUUGGCUCUUGAUCAGAUGAAUUUUCUUCUGGAGAGCUGGGAGGUGGGUUAGGGAAGGCUGUUGCUGUGGCAGCAGGAGUGGAUCAGCCCUCUGCAGCCUGUUCUUCACACAGCAAGCUGCUCAGCGACCUGUCAGAGCUGUGCUGAUCAGAUGGGGGCUGAAGGCAGAGUUCAGAGCAGGAGGAUGGGUGGGUCCAUGUGCUGCUGUGACAGAGAAAAAAGGAAGCAGGAGGCUGCGAUGGGCCUGUUCCAGCCUUCUGCUUUUCCCAUGAGUUGCACAGUGCCAGAGUCUUGCUGUCCAGCUCUUUGGGUGGGGGACAGCACAGGAGAAAUGGGGGGAAAUGGAGUAACAGCCCCAGCCACUGGCAUGGAGAAUAAAACUGGGAAAAUGGUGAAAGUCGAGAAGGUGAGAAAGCUGUGAGUUUUGUGUGUUUGCUGUUGGUUUGAUAUUGGAUGGCCCCAUCCCUGCCGACAGCCAAGGUCAGGCUGGAUGGGCUCUGAGCACCACUAGGGCUGUGAGUGUCCCUGCUCAGUGCAGGAGGGUUGGACCAGAUGGCCUCUGAGGGUCCUUUCCAGCUCAAAACGAUGCUGUGGUUCCUUGGGGAGCCCUAGAGCUGAAAUGUCUGGUUUCCAGCCUAUGGCAGUGCCCUUGUGGCUUUGCAGCACGUGCUUGUGUCUUGGGUAGCAGCCAAGGGAGUGGGAGGGGGUCUUUAAAUGUGAAGACCCUGUCCGGUUCGCCUUUCCUAAGGACAGACUGUCUCACUGUGGCUCCCACCAGCUCAAUCUGCUGUCACUGUGUCACUGGCACUGGUGGCCAGGGAGCUGCACAAGGCACUGAAUGCCCUCCUCGUGUGCGAGCUGGGAUCCAUCUUGUGUCAGCUGCCUUCAGCACCUCCGAGCCCACACUGCCUCGCUGUAGCCCAGCCUGAAUAUGGCAUUUGCUGUCAGGUGGCUGAUUUCUGCCUGCAGAAUAUGGAGAGCGUCAGCCUGGCAUUUCCCACUUGCCUCCUAGGGACAAAGCAGGUCAUGACUUCCGUGUAUUAUCAUUAAAAAGAUAAUUUCCUCUAGAUGUGUGCAAUAAGACAAUGGUGCUGACCUGUGAUCCUGGCAUUGCACAGCAUUAAUGAUUUCCCUUUGCAGGUAAUAAGCAGCAAAUGUACACAUUUUGGGGAGAUCUGAAUUAGUUUUUUUCCCUCCUUUUAAGACUGCUGUCUUCCUAGGCCAGACUUAAUUAGCAGACCUCAUUAUUUCCUGAAAUGUAACUUGACUUCCAUUGAAUGAGAAUUGUUCAGUGGAUGGGGAGCAGCAGAGCGGUGCUGCAAUAUUCAUAUUGUUUAAAUUGCAACAUUAACAUUUCAUGCCGCUCUUGGCAUAUUUUCAGGUGCGGCCCUUUAGCUCAAUGCAGUGCUGUGAAAGGUUGGAUCAGAACAAUUAGGAUACAGCGACUGGAUUUCUGGAUUAUUAUUAUUAUUUUUUUUUUUUAAGCAACACAAGCUUAGAUUCAAUGCCCAUCACUCUCUUUGUUUGGCAGAACAGGGAUUCCAGCGCCCCUGAAGUAAAUGCUUUUCUGGAAUAAAGGAUGUGCUGUAGCACAUGCUCACCUCCUCUCUUAGCAGAGAUGAAGCCCUGCAGGUACAUGCAGUACGUGAUUCGCAGGGCUGGAAGCACCUCCUGGGACUUGACCUUCACUAGCUAAAUAAGAGAACUCCCAAUAAUGCUUCUGGCCACCUAGGCCACAGUCGCACACAAAAAGGCUGUUUCCCACUUUGCCCUUGUUCUUGGAUGCCUCAGGCUGGAGGUGGCACUGUAGUAAUGCCCAGGUCCAAGCGGAUCCUACAUGAGCACGUGGAUUGCACUCCCUAUCUCCAAACAGCCCGUGGGCCUUGGUCCUGCACAGGGGCUCCAGUGACCUUUGCUGCCUUGCCCCAUAGUGUGCUUUCCAGUAGUUUUUCCUGUACUGGAGUUCAGUGUCAAUGAUGGGAGUUAAUGUCAAGGAAUCAUAGAAUACCUGGGUUAGAAGGAACCUUAAAGCCCACCCAGUCCCAACCCUACAGUGGGCUGGCUGCCCCUCCCCCACCAGCUUAGGCUGCCCAAGGCCCAAUCCAGCCUUCCUUGAGCACCUCCAAGGAUGGGACACACGUCUGGGAUUGCCAUGAACCAAGUGCAACACCUUGCAUUUGGCCUUAGCAGUGUCAAGAACAACUCCAGCUUCCACCCUGGAACAACUUAAUUAGGGUCUCUGACUUCAGCCAACCAUGCCUCCCAUUUGUAACGUGUGCAGUGGGAUCCAUGACAUCUUAUCUCCCAUGGAUACGUAGCUUGGGUCAGGGUUCUCUGGUAUCUGGUAAGCUGCUUGUGCUGAAUGGAACACCUCCUCUCGUGGGUUAUUUAUAACAUCCUGCUCUCCCACGCAGAUUGUCUGGUGUCUAAUAGUGGAUGAUGCACUACAGUUUGCAAGGUGCUAAUAAUCUCUCUCCUCUGUUUGACAGUCUGUUCCCAUGAGAUUUAUAGACUCUGACUGUCCCUGAGACCUCUGCCUCUCUGUCAGAUCAGGCUGAAAUCUGUUCUCAGUGUCAGAAGCUGCUGCCAAGCAGGCAGGGGAUGGACUGAUGCGUGUGUUUUGCAUCCCAUAAGAACUCAAGCACAGACCUGGGGGGCGAUGGGAGCUCUGAUUGCCAACUUGUGGGUUCAGGAAGGUGAGCCUCCAGGAGAAGGGCCGUGCCCGCAGCCAUCCUGCAUGAGAUGCCGUGCUGCGGGAUGCUCACGGGCUGCACUUCAUGUUCCCAUCGCCUGCGGUGACCAUCACAAGCGGCGCAGCCCCUGUGGGAACGGCCCCUGAGGACAAUAAACGAGCCAGCCCCGAGCUCCAGGCUGCUGUGAAGAAUUGCCUGGCUAAAGGAUAAUGAAUACCGCAGCAGGAGACGGAGCGUUUCUCCGAGGCCAUCCAUCCCCUUUAUCACCCCGCUAACAAGCCCCUGAGCGACUUCAGAGAGGCUUCUGCAGAGCAGCUCAAUCCCUCACCGUGCUGGCGGCUGGGUGCUGGGGGCUCUGCGGGAAGCCACAGCCCCAUCCCACAGAGCAACCGCCAGUGCCCUCCAGGGGUCCGUGUAGUGCCAAGGAGGGGCAGAAGAGCCAGGCAUCCUUUUUUUUUCCAAGGCACUUUUGGGCCCUGCAGCACCCUUUGGAGCAUUGCUUUACCCAGCUCCCAGCCUGGCAAAGAUUUCUGAGAUCUGUGCGAGGCUCAGGAGGAGUUUAGUGCUGCUGGCCAGGAGGUUUAUCUAUAGGAGGAUGCAUCUAGCACGGUCCCUGCAAGAACUUCACAUCCAGUGCUGGAGGAGGAGAAGGGAAAGCAAACAGUGUUGGGUGUUCUCAUCAAUGUAGGUGGCUGGGGGGGUGCGAGGGGGGGCAGAAAGCAGGAGAAAAGCUGAAAGCCCUUCAGGAAGGUGUACAGAGCACAGUGAUGGGCAAUUAGGUUGUUCCAGGAAGGACAGAAGUAGCAGAGAGCAGUGAGCUGAGUCUGAGGAGCUCUCUGAUACUCAGCAUCAGCUUCGACUGAGGUCGCUGGGUAGGGCUGGUUGUGUUUAAUGCCUCAGUUUCCCCACGGGAGAGUUCAUUUACAGCCUGAAAACAUCUGGCACUUUUCCUCCUUUGGCCAGCACUGUUAUGUGUUGAAUUGAAGGGAAACGCAAUGCAUCACCCUCCUCAUGGGCUGCCACUCUGCCAAGAGUAGCGGAGAUUGGCCUUCCAUCAUGGGGGGCUGAGGUGGAAGGGACCUCCCGGAGCAUGCAGCGGAGAAAUACUGUCAUUAGCUGAGGAAGACCUGGCAGAGAUGGAGUGCUCCUUCACCUUGCCCACCAGACCUCUGCCCUGCUUGCUGCUAACAGGACAGGGAAAUGCUAACUGUGCCAGCUGCAGUGCUUGGAGUGCUGUCUGCAUCCAGAUGUGAGAAACAGCUGGGACAGCAAGGCUUUUACAGCCUGGUGGGGGUGGCUUUGGUCUUUUUGCUGCCUAUCAACAAGCCCUUGCUGUUGGGAUCAAAGAACGUUUCUCCAUACUUACAGUCAGUGGGUGCUGGAUGAUCCCCAGAGGUCCCUUCCAACCCCUACAAUUCCAUGGGUCUGUGAUGUCCCUGGCCAUGAAGGUCCCAGGAUGCAGGAGGUCUGCCUCCUGUACUUACCAGUGUAACAGGGCAGCCUUUGGGGUGGUGUAGGUUUGAAGGAUGCCUCACCUGCUCCUGUCUCGCAGGUUGUAGGGAAAUCAUUUUAAUUAGCGUGACACGUCCCUUUGUGGGCAAAAAAAAAAGAAAGAAAAGAAGGAAAGCCAAUAGAAACUCCGGCCAUUCGGGGUAUUUUUAGUUCUUUGCGAAGGACUGUUAACAUCUCUCUCAGCUCCCUGAAGACUGCUUUGGCUCUGCAGUUGCCUGCGGUGCUGUGCUGACGCCAGCACACCCUGCAUGAAGGUAAGCCAGCCCCCGGGGCUGCGGUUCUGGAGAGCCUCGUUGCCCCAUCCUUGCUCUCGGGAUGCCCACCAGGCACAGCUCUCAGAGAAGGGGUGAGAAGCUCAGACGUAGAGUUCCCACACUGAGGCAUCUCCCCCCCUCCUUCCCUUUCUGAGCUGAGAGCAGCAAAAUUAAAGUAAAACUCGGCUCCUGAGCCUGAACCCUUCACCUGGCUUGUUUUCCCUUUUUUUUUUUUUCUCUGACCAUUUCAGUUGGCUGAGUGUCAUUGCCAGCCUAUUGCUUAUGGAGGGAAGGAGACCUGAGAGAGGAUAAAUCUGGAGGCAAUGAGGUUGGAGGGAGGCAAGUCAUCUGCUCUGACACUUUUAUAGUGGAGCGAGGCUACUUGGGAGUGAAUCUUCCUUGCAGCAUAUGCUGUGGGAUGACGUUGCUUCCAGGGGUGGCAGUAGCCCUCCCCAAGCCUUGCUGUCCAGCCCUGUGUUCUUCCCUUGGGGCUGGGAAUGCCCUGGGCUGCAGGACCACUGGGUGGGUUCUUGGCUUUGGCCAUCAUUCCCUUUAUGGGUAUUUCAGGCUUUCAGCGCUCUGAAUGAAGGCAAAACUGUUGGGAUGUCUCAGAUGGGCCUGGUUUUGCCACCAGAAGAAGCCUUUUAUGACUUCAGCCAACGGACACAGGCAUUGUUUUGGACACGAUGGAGCUGUUGGCUUGAGUGCGUUUCUUGUUUUGGAAAUGCAGAGGGCGCAAGAGGAAUCACAGUGAAAUCCUCCUCUAAGUUGCCCAGGAGAGUGGGUGGCCUCAAGGAAAGGUUACCCCCAGCCCUAGGAAGGCAGUUCUGCAUGCUCAGUAGCGUGGUGAGGAGCUGAUGGCCAUGUUCCGUGCAAGGGUGGGAGCCAGGGGAGAUUUCAGGUUACACUGCACUCCCUGCUCCUUUCCAAUAUCACUGUCAACUUGGAUUUCACAUGGUGGUGGUGAUGCUGUGGCUGGCGUGACUGUAACAGAAUGUCACUGGGAGAGGUGAUGUUUUUCCCCCCAUAGGGGUGCUUCUUCCUUUCCCUUCCCUCUGGCUUACAUGACAAACUUCAGACUCCCAGUGCCAACAUCUGUGUUGCCCAAGGGCCACCACACAAAGCACUGGGCAUUGCUUUGUGCUGUGUCAGUGAGCAGCUCUGUGUCACCGGUGACACUCCAACACUAAGGGUUGAGUGGGUGACCAGAGGGUGACAUGUGUCACUGAGACAAAUCAGGGCAGUCGAGAGCUGCCGUGUUUGCCAUCAAGAGGAACAAUCCCUUACCAUACUAGCACCCUCCUACAGCAGCAUCCUGCUAAACCUGCCGGGCCAUCAGGCCCCAACCUGAGCUAAAUCUGGGUCUGACAGAUGGACAGACGUGUGAUGAUGGUUAAGGCUCUCCGUGGGCUGUCUUGCCUCCUCUAAGCAGGAGCUAUCAGGAAGGGAGUGUUUGGCAUGCUCAGCAGCCCCAUUGCCAACCUGCUGUCCUCAGGGGCAACUUCAGCAAAGCCCCUGUGCUGCUCUGUGUCCAGCUUUCAUCUUCCAGCUGGGUAUGGAGGAAGGCAGGAAUGUGUCUGCUGCUGCCAGGCUGUGCUGGAAAAUGUAGGCAGGGGACGCCUAUAUGCGUGCUUCAGCACAAGAUCUUCAUCUGGUGCUUGUUCUCUAUUAGCCCCAAUCCCCUCUUGCAUCUUUUCCAGCUGAUGCCUGAGCCCGUUUUUGUUUUGUUUCCCUUUCUCCCUCACCUUAUGAAAAAUGGCUUUGCCAUCUGCAUCUGUCAGGAGUCUGUGGAGCCGGGCCCACGGCUCAGUGAGUCUACAAACGUGUGGUUGGAUUGUGGGCCCCACUGACAGGCUGGAGCCGAAUACCAAUGUGCAGGAGGAUGAGUGCACUCCCUUCUCUGCUGCUGGUGCCUCUGCUGGUUGUUUUUUUUUCCUAUCCAACGGAGGUGUGAGAAUUGCCUCUGGGAGCAAUGCUUCCUUCUGCUCCUGUUCCGCCUUGCCAAGGUUGGGUUCUCUGCUAUCCAUCAUCAGAUGAGGCCUCGCCUCACUCCUGCAUCUCAGCUGCUGAUGGGAGGGCUGGGGAAGGGGAAAUGUUCCACUCUGCCUCCCCGGCCAUCCCUUCCCCUCUCUUUUUGCAUCUCACCCACAGGUGCAGUGCAAGGCAGCAGGUAGGCUCGGGCCCAAGGACACUUAGAAUCACAGAACCAUGGAACAUCCCAAGUAGGAAGGGAUCACCAAGACCCAACUCCUGGCUCCGCACAGGACCACCUAAAACUCAGACCCUGUGUCUGAGAGCGUUAUCAAGAUGCUUCAUGAACUCCUGCUGCUCGGUGCUGUGCCCACUGCCCUGGGCAACCUGUUCCAUGCUUCACUGCCCUCUGGUGCAGAACCUAUUCCUGAUACCCAACCUGAACAUGAUGUUUCCUUUGCUUGCUGGUACCAAGUGGCUCUGGAGAGAGUGGAGACUGAGGUAGAUGAAGAUGAGGUAGAUGAUCUGUCCAACCAUACAUUCCUGCUUUAAAAUGUGAUUUUGUAUGGAAGCUUUUGGCCAAGUUGAGUCAGAGCCCAGGUAAGAUGUGACAGCACCAAGUGCUCCUGCACAUCUUAGCCUCACUAUAACUCUGUGAGGUCACACAGCUGUCCACAGGAGGUGACAACCUGCCUCGGCCCCACUAGCUUUGCCCACCCCCUCUCUGCCUAUUGGGUUUCCUGCAGUUUGCUACAUGAGCCACUUCCCCAUCCUUGCUGUGCUGACACAUGUAGAGCCAGGUGGGCUCAGAGGAGUGGGCAGAAGAUGAAAGGAAUCUCUCCAUGCUCUUGCCACAGCUCUCUGGUCAAGGAGGAGAAGCUUCUAGGAGGGUGGCCCCCUGCUUUGGCAGGAGGAGAGAGCCAGCAGCUUGAGCUGAGUUGGUUUUCCAACAAGCAGAUGGAUGUUCAGCAGGAGCCCACGGAAACCUUCUAGCUUCAGGCUAGCUGCGAGCCCUGCAAACCACAGCAUUGUGCUGAUGCAAAGAAAGCAUCGCUCCACUGCUGCUCGGUCUGAAUUACCUCUCUGGGGGGCAGCGUCCAUCCCCUGUGUCUGUGCUCUGCAUCUGGCUGGGCAAGGCCGUGCAAGGAGGGAGGAAGGCAGCAAUGGCAGCCUCUUCCCACAUCUCCAUGCCGCGGGGCUCUUGGCGAGCUAGCGCAGUCUGCUCUGCAGGCUCUGAGUGCUCCUGCAGGUGGGAGCCAAUUUGUCUGCAUUCCUGCCCAGGUGCCAUCUGCUGUAGGAUUGCCUGCGCGAGGAUGAGCACGAUGGGGAUGGCAAAGGGGUGGUGGGAGAGAGGAGCCUCAGCUUUCCCUGGAUAACUUCAGCACUUCUUGAAGCCUUCGCGGCGGGGAAGUCGCAGCCUGUCAUUUGCUGUUCCUGGAGUGUGAUGGGGAGCUGAGGCAUUGCUAAUGGCAAGCUAUCAUUUUAAUGCUAAUUUCCCAGCAUUAGAUCAGGACGGGGGAGGCACAGCCUUCGAGGAGGGAAGUCAUUAGCAGAUGGAGAGGGGGGGAUGUGUGAGGCUUGUUCUGCACCCAAGAAUGGACUUCCAGGAGGUGGAUGAUUAACCACCACUGGGAAGAUGGGGAGCAGAUGCUGGGUCAGUCCCUGGUGGCUGUGGGAGGGACGUUUUCUUCCAAGGCUCCUUCCUGCAUGGGUUGCCUGAGUUCCUCAGGCUUUGGGCGAGAUUUGAAGUCUGCAGUUAGUCCUUGGUGCCUGGUGGCUGUGGGGUGCUCAGAGCAGUGGCAGGACUGUGCUGGUGGCGUGGUUGUCCUUUAAUGAAGGAGCCAACUCUUACCAGGAUUGGGUUUAGCUUCUCCUUUUAUGAAAGUUCCCAAAUGUAGAAGCCUGGAUAUCCACAUUCAUAGGUUCAUAUAAUCAUUUGAGUUGGAAGGGACCCUUAAAGGCCAUCUGGCCCAGCUUCUCAGCACAGAACAGGAACACAUACUGCUCCAUCAGGUGCUCAGAGCGCUGUCCAACCUGACCUUGGGUUUCUGCAUUUAUGGGGCUUCCACCACUUCUCUGGGCAAUAUUGGUUGAUUUCAAAGAAGGGUAGUUAUGGUCCUGCUGGGCUGGCUGCUGCAAAGCAAUAGUGCUGCCCAGCCUGGUGCUGCUUUCCCAGGUCACCAAUGCCUUGUGCCCAAGCGGGGUACAAAUGCCACCUGGGGCUUGUGGGCUCCCCAUCCCAUCUCUUCUUAUCUCCACAUAUUGGCAGGAGGCAUGUUAAACCCAUGACCCAUUCUCAGUGGUUGCCCAAUGACUCAACGCCAAUUGCAGGAGGUUUGCUUCAUGCACAUGUGGGAUGUGGGUGGAAGGUUCCCUGUUGGUCUCUUGAUGAUUGAGUCUGUGUAAGGGAGUCUGGCUCUGCCUGAGCACAGCUGGAGGUAGGAUCCCACUCCUUGUUCUUGUGCUGGAAUGUUGAGUGGGAAGGAUUUGGUGAGGCACUGGCACAGGCUGCCCAGGGAAGUGAUGGUGUCACUGUCCCUGGAGGUGUUCAAGACCCGUGGAGGUAUAGCACUGAGGGAUGUGGGCAGUGGGCCUAGUGGGGUGGGUUAAUGAUUGGUCUAGAUGAUCUUAGUAGCCUCUCCCAACUCUAGAAUCCUAAGAACAGACAGACCCCAUGCCUACAGCUACCUCUUGUCAUAAAAACAAGCUCAGCUGCCCCAAACCAUUUAUCUGCCCUUUCCCGAGCUGGAAGUUCUCUCAUACAACCUCAUGGUUCAUCUCCUCGAUCUGUGUUUACCAAAUGGAAAAGCAGUUGUGCUGCUUCCCAGCCUAGUGUAGGUGCCUGGGAGCUCGUGUGAAGUUUGAGGGGAGGUGGGUGGUUGUAGUGGACUGUAGGGCCUGCUUGGGACUGUGUUGGCAGCAGUCAGGAGCUCCUCUGUCAUUUCUAGAUCUGCUUGGAACAUCUCCAGCUAGAUCAGAUAGAUUCGGUCCAGCCUGACCUUGAAUGUCUCCAGGGAUGGGACAUCUUGGGACUAAAGGAAAACAAACUCAGAGGCUGUGCCUGGCUGAGAGGGAGCUGGCUGCCUCCUGGUGAGGGCUGGCAGUGUAUUAAGGCAGGGGCAUAUUUGUCUCCUUGUCCUCAGAAUGGCAGAUCUCCUGAAGACCCACCAGCCUGUGCUGAUUUAGACCAUUAGAUUUAUCAUUUCAAACACGUGUGGGUUUUCAAGACCAUUUAAGAACCAUUCUGGCAUCUGGCAGGGAAGCGAUGGAGGAACAAAACCAGCCAUGAUAAAGGGAAAGAAAACCAGCAACUGGUUAAGAGAGAGGAAGCCAGGAGGAGAGCAUCCUGCCAGGAGGACAUCAGCACAAGUUGCUUUAGCGCAGCAGCAUUGCUCUGUGCUAUUCCCAACUAUCAGAUCUGCCCCAGGGGAGAGCAUGACUCACUGUUUUUAGGGAGCAAUUUGCAGCCGAAGAAUGGCUCCUGUCUUGUCUAGAGCUUCUCCCUGCCUUGGGCACAGAGACAGAGCAAAAGCGAAGAGCUGUUUUAUCCUAGCCCAGGAGAAGCAAACAAGUGGCUAAGCGAGGAAAUCAGCGCCUUAUGUGUGUCCAGGAAUAAUAUAAUCAAGCCGUUUGGGGGAGAAAAAUAAAAUCAGUAAUGUUGCUUUUCCCAGUUCAUCACUCUGAAUAAUGAGCCUACAAGCUGGCUGGGGAGCUCCCAAGGGACACCUGUGUGCAGGAGAUGGACACAACACGCAUCUUGGAUGGGCCAAUAGCUGGAGUGCUUUCUCUCUCUAAUUUUCUACAUCAGUGAGAACACAGAGCAGCACCAUCCAUCAUCGUCAGAGCCAUCCUGAGAAGCCACCUCCUGCCUCUCCAUCGAGGGACGCUGCACCUCUGUGUCCUGCACGAGGCCGCAGGUGUUGCAACACAUGGUGUUGCAGUAUGUCUGCUUGGAGCAGCCAAGGGUCAGAGAAUCAUUUAGGUUGGAAAAGACUAUGGAGAUCAUCUAUCCCAACCACAACCUUGAGCUCUCUUCCAGGCACGGUCUCCUGCUUGUAUCAACCCUGCUCCAGUGUUGUGCAGCUCUUGCUGGCUUCUGUAGUAGCUGCUUUGUUUACUUCCACAGUGCCUGCCCUUUAGGUAAUGAGCUAUAAUUCAUCCUGCUUUACACAGUGCUCAGAGGUACCUGGAGCAAGAAAGGUGUGCCAUUACAAGCACCUCUCUGGAGCAGAGGUUGCUGAUAUCCCGGAGCUGUACAAUGGGGAGGCAAUGGGGGAGGUGGAAAAGGGGAACAUUUCCCAUCCUCCAGGGUGAAGGUGCAGUCUGGGAGGCAGCAUGCAGGUGCAGAUGGAAGGCAGUGACAGGCAGACAGGGUGCAGGGAUGAAAGAUAGAUAUUUUUUUUCAACCUGCUUUCCUCUCUUUCCCUGCUUUAUAACCUGCUUUUAUAGAGACUGCACGAGGAACACACUUUUUUAUUAGCAGCUUGGGAGUGGAG